GGCAGCGCUGCCCGGCGCCGCCUGCACGGGCAGGGCUCUUCGCCUGACGCAGUGAGGAGCUGCAGCCCUUCUCUUCUCGGAGGCCGGGCUCCAGCGCUGGGAUUUGCUCGGCUCCGGCUGCGUUUCCCUGCCCGCCUCCUGCCCCCGGCCCGCCCGCUUGGAAGGGCGCGGGGAGCCGCAGCCGCGGGUGCGUCCGCCGCCCAUCACCGCGCUUCGGGGCUGGGCGCGCCGCCGAGCGCCGGGAGCCGCCUCCGGAGCAGCUUCAACUAUGAUCAGUGCAUAAAUCUACCUGCAACACAGGAUGUUGGAAAAUUACCGAGAGACAGCAACGUCCUCCCUGCUGCUUGGUGAGAAAAGAAGGAUGCACCUUCAGUUGCCAGAAGAAAUAAUUUGCCCAGUGAUGUUGCAGGUGCCUCUUUGCCCUCCCUGCCAAGACACCUGCCCACUGCUGCCUGCAGGAGCCCUCGGUGGAGCCCAAGCCGAUGUUUCUCUCAGGGAGUUCCCUGCUUCAUCCCUGCUGCGUCAGAGCUGAACACAUCCUGCCAAGAUUCGAG
rnacentral:lncRNA from 1 species